rnacentral:lncRNA from 1 species
UCGGUCUACGGGAGAUAACUCUUAUCUUAUCACAAUGUCGCAAAAUUGAUGACAAAAUUCAUAGUUCGCCGAAAAUAAAUAAAAACUGUUAAAUACACUUAAAUGUUGUCUUUUUAUGUUUUUUGGGGAAAUACAUGUUCAAAACUUAAAUAGAAAUUAUUUUAAAAUGUUGAACGAAACACUCACUUUCCCGGAUGCACGGGUCGCCAAUGUAAACAACAUUCAACGG